GGAAAAGAAGGAAGAGGGAAGAUAGAACCACGACAUGUCGACUAUACCGAAAAGUUUAUAAUAUUACAUGUAUUACUUCAACAUGGGUGGAUAGUGGGAAUCAAACCCGUGUCUUCUCCUUGGCAAAGAGAAAUUUUAGCAUUCGACCAUAUCCACAAUUUUUUCGUUCUUCAUACGCGCGUAUACGUCCACACAUAUAUGAUAUAUUAAAUGAUGUCUGAAUCAUAUUUGUGCAGGGUCCGGCCAGAUACUAUCUUCAGGACGAUUCCAAUCCAAAUUAUUCCAAUUAGGUUUUUUUUUUUUUUUUUUUUCUCUUAUUUUUAUUAAAAAUUU